CGGGGAGUAGCGCAGUCUGGUAGCGCAUCUGCUUUGGGAGCAGAGGGUCGCUGGUUCAAAUCCAGUCUCCCCGA
rnacentral:tRNA from 1 species